rnacentral:rRNA from 1 species
ACCGAAUACAUUAGCAUGGGAUAAUGGAAUAGGACCCUGUCCUCCUAUUUUCAGUUGGUUUUGGCAGCGCGAGGACUAGGGUAAUGAUUAAUAGGGAUAGUUGGGGGCAUUAAUAUUUAAUUGUCAGAGGUGAAAUUCUUGGAUUUAUGAAAGAUUAACUUCUGCGAAAGCAUCUGCCAAGGAUGUUUUCAUUAAUCAAGAACGAAAGUUAGGGGAUCGAAGACGAUCAGAUACCGUCGUAGUCUUAACCAUAAACGAUGCCGACCAGCGAUUAGGAGACGUUGAAUACAAAACACCACCAUCGGUUGCGGUCGUCCUUGGCGUCUCGGUUUCGGCCGGGGCGCGGGGACGGUUUAGCCCGGUGGCACCGGUGAAUGAC